rnacentral:rRNA from 1 species
AGAGAGAGACAUGCGCGCAUAUCAAUAAGCGGAGGAAAAGAAACUAACAAGGAUUCCCCUAGUAACGGCGAGUGAAGCGGGAAGAGCUCAAAUUUGAAAUCUUAAAGGGUUUCCCUUUACGAAUUGUAGUUUAAAGAAGUGUUUUCUGUUGAGGUUUUGGUAAAAGUUCUUUGGAAUAGGACAUCAUAGAGGGUGAGAAUCCCGUAUUUGACCUUUACUUUCAACUUUGUGAUACACUUUCAAAGAGUCGGAUUAUUUGGGAAUGCAGUCCAAAAUGGGUGGUAAAUUUCAUCUAAAGCUAAAUAUUGGCGAGAGACCGAUAGCGAACAAGUACCGUGAGGGAAAGAUGAAAAGAACCUUGAAAAGAGAGUUAAACAGUACGUGAAAUUGUCAAAAGGGAAGCGUUUGACACCAGUGUUGUUUUUCUGAAAAUCAAUUAAAGAACUGUUUAUGCUAAGUCUGUUUAGACUUUAUCAGCUAUACUGUUUAGUUUUGAGCUUUUCUUUAAUGCAGCUUUUCAGUUAACAAGUCAACAUCAAUUUCUUUUGCUGUAAAAAAGCUUGAGGAAGGUGGCUUGAGAUUCGUCUUAAGUGUUUAUAGCCUCUUGCCUAUGCAGUCGGAGAGAUUGAGGUCUGCAGCGUAGAUCCUUCGGGGCUAAAUGCAUUUGUGCUAAGUUAUAGCAUUUUAUAGACAACUUGUUGACUAUGAUUUGUCUUGUAGCUUACUCGCUUAUGUUAUUUUACCUACGCUUAGGAUGUUGACGCAUGAGAUAUACGC